UACGGAGGGUGCGAGCGUUGUUCGGAAUUAUUGGGCGUAAAGCGCGUGUAGGCGGUUUCAUAAGUCUGAUGUGAAAGCCCCGGGCUCAACCUGGGAAGUGCAUUGGAUACUGUGAGACUUGAGUACGGGAGAGGGCAGUGGAAUUCCUAGUGUAGGAGUGAAAUCCGUAGAUAUUAGGAGGAACACCGGUGGCGAAGGCGGCUGCCUGGACCGAUACUGACGCUGAGACGCGAAAGCGUGGGGAGCAAACAGG
rnacentral:rRNA from 1 species